AUUGAACGCUGGCGGCAGGCCUAACACAUGCAAGUCGAGCGGAUGAAGGGUGCUUGCUCCUGGAUUCAGCGGCGGACGGGUGAGUAAUGCCUAGGAAUCUGCCUAGUAGUGGGGUAUAACGUCCGGAAACGGGCGAUAAUACCGCAUACGUCCAGAGGACGAAAGUGGGGGAGCUUCGGACCUCACGCUAUCAGAUGAGCCUAGGUCGGAUUCGCUAGUUGGUGGGGUAAAGGCCUACCAAGGCGACGAUCCGUAACUGGUCUGAGAGGAUGAUCAGCCACACUGGAACUGAGACACGGUCCAGACUCCUACGGGAGGCAGCAGUGGGGAAUAUUGGACAAUGGGCGAAAGCCUGAUCCAGCCAUGCCGCGUGUGUGAAGAAGGUCUUCGGAUUGUAAAGCCCUUUUAGUUGGGAAGAAGGGCAGUAAGUUAAUACCUUGCUGUUUUGACGGUACCAACAGAAUAAGCACCGGCUAACUUCGUG
rnacentral:rRNA from 1 species